rnacentral:rRNA from 1 species
AUUGAACGCUGGCGGCAGGCUUAACACAUGCAAGUCGAAAGAGUGGCGGACGGGUGAGUAAUGCUUGGGAAUCUAGCUUAUGGAGGGGGAUAACUACGGGAAACUGUAGCUAAUAACGCGUACCAAAGGAGGAGCCCAAGUGGGAUUAGGUAGUUGGGGAGGUAAAGGAUCACCAAGCCGACGAUCUCUAGCUGGUCUGAGAGGAUGACAGGCCACACCGGGACUGAGACAGGGCCCAGACUCCUACGGGAGGCAGCAGUGGGGAAUAUUGCGCAAUGGGGGCAACCUGACGCAGCCAUGCCGCGUGAAUGAAGAAGGCCUUCGGGUUGUAAAGUUCUUUCGGUAGCGAGGCGUUAACUACAGAAGAAGCACCGGCUAACUCCGUGCCAGCAGCCGCGGUAAUUC